ACAGAAAAGGUGAACUCUUAUUUACUCUGAGCUUUGAGCCUCUUUACAAUGCUGCCUUGUAGACUCUGAUUCAAGCAGCAUUGUACAGGGCUAUGAAAGCACAGAGGCACACUUCCAGAUCAGAACUAAGGAUUUCUGCCAACCUCAAGUAUCACUAGUGAUUACUCUGUAUAGAAUAUAAUUGAAAUGCACUGUUGUGGCACUGUUGUCUCUUUUUAAUUCUUUUUUUAAAAUGCAAUCUGUUUGUUUACUUUUUAAUAAACACUAGAUAAGGUCAGCGUGAAAUCGUGGGUGAACUGCAGAUAACAGAUGUACAGUAUACAUAGGAUACAUUAGGUCAUCUUCUUUCAAUGCCAGUCAAUCGAAUCACCUCAGAGGGAAACAGCACCACCCACUUUGAUGUUUAACAUGUAAUGCUUUGAAUUUUGGCUGAUGCUGGGAUCAUAGAGCAUGGAAAUAUGGUAUCCCUCUCUAAGCCCUUGACAGUAGUUAAUUUAUUUAAAGGUGCACUCAGUAACUUUUGUCUUUGUGUCAUCUUGGACUUACAUUGACACCUAGCGGCUUGGAUGCAGCAUCAUUUAAAAUCAAGUUUUCAGUUUCAGAUGCCAUUGUAGAAAUGUAUUCACAGUCAGCCAUGAUUACUUUAAUCAGUGAGUGAAAGUGUCAAAUAACAAGACGGUGGGGGCCUGGGUAGCUCAGUGAGUAAAGAUGCUGACUACCACCCCUGGAGUCAUGAGUUCGAAUCCAGGGUGUGCUGAGUGACUCCAGCCAGGUCUCCUAAGCAACCAAAUUGGCCCGGUUGCUAGGGAGGGUAGAAUCACAUGGGGUAACCUCCUCGUGGUCACUAUAAUGUGGUUCUCUCUCUCAGUGGGGCGCAUGGUGAGUUGUGCGUGGAUGCCUCCACACACACUAUGUCUCCGCGGUAACACGCUCAACAAGCCACAUGAUAAGAUUCGGGUUGACGGUCUCAGACAUGGAGGCAACUGAGAUUCAUCCUCUGCCACUCAGACAUGAGGACUUGGAGCACAUUGGGAGUUGGGCAUUCCAAAUUGGGGAGAAAAUAAAAACAAAUAAUAAUAAAUAAAUAACAGGACGGUUACCGAGAUUGAGUAGUAUUUGGCUGGUCAUGUGAUUCUAACAUGGCAACCCCCAUGUGCGGGCCCUCUCCAUGUAGAAUAAAACAGCUUUUAUAAGGUUACUGAUAUGACUGGAGUCUUUAUUUUAAUGUGAGUGGACAUGAUUUUUUACAUAUAUUGCAAAAUUCAAUUCAUGUCUUUUGGAGUUGCACUUUUUUAAUGAGGAAAAGAUUACUGAGUGCAUCUUUAACUGCUCUAUUAUUUACAGUGGCAGACACUGUCCAUGCUGUUGGAAUGGUUAAUGUUGCCAGGUAUUUAACUGUGGCAUCUGUUGGCAUAUGACAAAAAGCCUAUGUUGUAAUAAAAUCCAUUAUUAAAUUACAAA